CAGAGGAUCACAUCCAUUUCCUCAAGACUUUCCAGUCAGUCAGUGAAGCACCUGAGUCUAAAGACUUAUCCUGCAUCUCUGUGAACCAAGGCCUCUCUUUUGAGGCUGUGAAGAAAUCUGUCUCCUCACUAAAGAUGCAGCUGGAGAAUUUCUGCAAAGAGGAAGUCAUGAAAAUAUCUGCAUCAGUGACUAAAGUCCAAGUUAUUUUGUCUCUUGAACCUACAACCAGAGAGGAUUUCCUACAAUUGACUAAAGUCCAGGCUGUUUUGUCUCUUGAACCUACAACCAGAGAGGAUUUCCUCCAAUGUGAGUUUGACAUUUCAUACAGUUUACUUUAUUCCAAAUCACAAGUCAAGUUUCAGUAGCAGUCACAUGGUCCUACAUGUUUAAGCAGUUCAACAUUUCAUUAUGGCUGUUAUAGGUCAUGGGUAGAGGAAACAGUGUCUUUUCCAGUGUCUUUUUCCAUUUUCCUAAAAUGGCGUUCUAAACGGAAGUGCGGGAGGAGAUGUAACGAAUUUGCUACACCCCCCUCACAUCAAUCACACACACUUCAUUUAAACUCAGUUCUCCUCAUCAGCA